rnacentral:rRNA from 1 species
UACGGGAGGCAGCAGUGGGGAAUAUUGCACAAUGGGCGAAAGCCUGAUGCAGCUAUGCCGCGUGUAUGAAGAAGGCCUUAGGGUUGUAAAGUACUUUCAGCAGGGAGGAAAGAAAUAAAACUAAUAAUUUUAUUUUGUGACGUUACCUGAAGAAGAAGCACCGGCUAACUCCGUGCCGGCAGCCGCGGUAAUACGGAGGGUGCAAGCGUUAAUCAGAAUUACUGGGCGUAAAGAGCGCGUAGGUGGUUUUUUUAAAGUCAGAUGUGAAAUCCCUAGGCUUAACCUAGGAACUGCAUUUUGAAACUGAAAACUAGAGUAUCGUAGAGGGAGGUAGAAUUCUAGGUGUAGCGGUGAAAUGCGUAGAUAUCUGGAGGAAUACCUGUGGCGAAAGCGGCCUCCUAAACGAAUACUGACACUGAGGUGCGAAAGCGUGGGGAGCAAACAGGGAUUAGAUACCCGU